UUACGGUCACAUCACAUUGAAACACUAGUUCCUGUAGGAUAACUGAAGUUAAGCAAUGCCAAGCCUGGUUAGCAUCUAGAUGGGUGAUCAUUUGGGAAUAUCAGGUGCUGUAAG